AACUGGUGAUGUUUCAUUAUAUAAGAGUAGUGGACAGAAGAGAUUUCUGAAACUGAAUGGCUGAAGUU